CGGUAGUUCACAAUAUAACAGAAAUAUGAAUGUAACCAGUUCGUAUGUAUACUUAGUCUGUGUCUCUUGUUUGGGAGUGUGUUUCCGCGGAACGCCGCUCUUCUCAAGUGAAUCCAGUUGAAUGAACGAAGAGAUGGAAGUGCCGGCGGUGUUUGCGCCAUCGAGUGUCCGAUUAUAGUUCCAUGCACUCGACGACCAAACACCGCUGUAUGUAUUCGCGGCUAAAGAUGGCCGCUGCCACGUGUUUGCACAUACGAACGAAGGCCACCCAGCCAACCACUUGCGGUUAGCGAGGUCAAGAAGGGCAAUAAGCAC